CCUCCGUCACUGCUUGCUCAAGCACGGUCUGUUUUUCUUCGUUUUAAUACUCAGCUGGCUCAGCUAGGCUUGUCUUUGGAUCAGUGUGGGAAAAUCAAUCAAUCAAUGGAGGAUAUGGUGAGCUCAACGGUGGUGAACACGUACCCACUCUCCAGCUACACCUUCGGUACCAAAGAGCCCAAGAUUGAGAAAGACUCCUCCGUCGCCGAUCGUCUUGCUCGCAUGAAACUCAACUAUUUUAAAGAAGGCAUGAGGACUAGUGUUGAAGCAAUCCUACUGGUGCAAGAACAUAAGCAUCCUCACAUUCUUCUUUUGCAAAUUGGAAACACAUUCUGCAAACUUCCCGGGGGACGUUUGAAGCCUGGAGAAAAUGAAAUUGAAGGCUUGAAGAGGAAACUGACGAGCAAAUUGGGCGCUAAUCAACCUUCACUUCAACCUAAUUGGCAGAUUGGUGAGUGCGUGGCAAUCUGGUGGAGACCAAACUUUGAAACGGUGAUGUAUCCUUACUGCCCUCCCCACAUCACAAAACCCAAGGAGUGUAAGAAGCUUUACAUUGUUCAUUUGUCUGAAAGAGAGUAUUUUGCUGUACCGAAAAAUCUGAAAUUGCUUGCUGUUCCCCUUUUUGAGCUCUAUGAUAAUGUUCAGAGAAAGAGAUGAUGAUAAUGGUCUCCCUGAUGUUACGCCUAGUAAUAAUGCUUACUCAUAUGAGGAGAAUGCUAGCCAUAGCCACAGCUGUACAGCACCUGUAUCUUUUUUUCUCAAAUAAAUGUGAACCAUGUAUUACACGUGACCAACCUGGAGCAUGUGUAGCAUGGAGUUCAUAACUGCUAGAGAUAUGGACCUGUUAUUUCGACAAUCCCACAGCAGCUGUCCAGAUUCCAGUUCAACAUGAUCACCACCUGAAAGGCUUAUAAAGGAAUCCAUGCCAUCAGAACUAAUCAUUCUUUAGGAGAACAUAUAUGACAUCUACUUACCAAAAUUAGGAUUCUCCUAAUCAGCAAAUAGACUUGUUACUCAAGCUAAUGUAGCUUAGCUUUAUGGUCUACUCCGGUGGUCUUUCAUAUGAAACUGUAAUGUGUACCUCCAAUUCGAAGGCCUUUGCAUGGUUGAAAUUUUGUUUGUUUUGUGCUGACAAAAAGAAGAUAGGUCCACUGUUAUUUUCAUGUUUCAAGAGUAUUGUGUGGGGCUAUGGAGAUUGUAGCUUGUGCUUCUCCAGAAAUAUUUUUAGGUGGAAACUAUAAGAACCAAGCUAAUGAUACCAACAUUGUACUUGUUAACCAAGAAAUUAUGGCACUUUCUGAAAGCUUGGGAGAGGAAGGGUAAAAAGAGAAGGGGGACUUUCAUGAUGGAUCAUGUAUGGAAAACUUACACAAAGGUUUGCAGGUCA